UACGAAGGGGGCUAGCGUUGCUCGGAAUCACUGGGCGUAAAGCGCACGUAGGCGGGUCUUUAAGUCAGGGGUGAAAUCCUGGAGCUCAACUCCAGAACUGCCUUUGAUACUGAGGAUCUCGAGUCCGGGAGAGGUGAGUGGAACUCCGAGUGUAGAGGUGAAAUUCGUAGAUAUUCGGAAGAACACCAGUGGCGAAGGCGGCUCACUGGCCCGGUACUGACGCCGAGGUGCGAAAGCGUGGGGAGCAAACAGG
rnacentral:rRNA from 1 species